rnacentral:rRNA from 1 species
UUUCCGGUUGAUCCUGCCGGACCUGACUGCUAUCGGAUUGAUACUAAGCCAUGCGAGUCAUUGUAGCAAUACAAGGCANACGGCUCAGUAACGCGUAGUCAACCUAACCUAUGGACGGGAAUAACCUCGGGAAACUGAGAAUAAUGCCCGAUAGAACACUAUAUCUGGAAUGGUUUGUGUUCCAAAUGAUUUAUCGCCGUAGGAUGGGACUGCGGCCUAUCAGUUUGUUGGUGAGGUAAUGGCCCACCAAGACUAUUACAGGUACGGGCUCUGAGAGGAGUAGCCCGGAGAUGGGUACUGAGACACGGACCCAGGCCCUAUGGGGCGCAGCAGGCGAGAAAACUUUGCAAUGUGCGAAAGCACGACAAGGUUAAUCCGAGUGGUUUGUGCUAAACGAACCUUUUGUCGGUCCUAGAAACACCGAUGAAUAAGGGGUGGGCAAGUUCUGGUGUCAGCCGCCGCGGUAAAACCAGCACCUCAAGUGGUCAGAAUGAUUAUUGGGCCUAAAGCAUCCGCAGCCGGCUCUGUAAGUUUUCGGUUAAAUCUGUACGCUCAACGUACAGGCUGCCGGGAAUACUGCAGAGCUAGGGAGUGGGAGAGGUAGACGGUACUCGGUAGGAAGGGGUAAAAUCCUUUGAUCUAUUGAUGACCACCUGUGGNGAAGGCGGUCUACCAGAACACGUCCGACGGUGAGGGAUGAAAGCUGGGGGAGCAAACCGGAUUAGAUACCCGGGUAGUCCCAGCUGUAACCUAUGCAAACUCAGUGAUGCAUUGGCUUGUGGCCAAUGCAGUGCUGCAGGGAAGCCGUUAAGUUUGCCGCCUGGGAAGUACGUACGCAAGUAUGAAACUUAAAGGAAUUGGCGGGGGAGCACCACAAGGGGUGAAGCCUGCGGUUCAAUUGGAUUCAACGCCGG